UUGACAUCCAGCGAACUUUCCAGAGAUGGAUUGGUGCCUUCGGGAACGCUGAGACAGGUGCUGCAUGGCUGUCGUCAGCUCGUGUUGUGAAAUGUUGGGUUAAGUCCCGNAACGAGCGCAACCCUUAUCCUUUGUUGCCAGCGAUUCGGUCGGGAACUCAAAGGAGACUGCCGGUGAUAAACCGGAGGAAGGUGGGGAUGACGUCAAGUCAUCAUGGCCCUUACGAGUAGGGCUACACACGUGCUACAAUGGCGCAUACAAAGAGAAGCGACCUCGCGAGAGCAAGCGGACCUCAUAAAGUGCGUCGUAGUCCGGAUCGGAGUCUGCAACUCGACUCCGUGAAGUCGGAAUCGCUAGUAAUCGUGGAUCAGAAUGCCACGGUGAAUACGUUCCCGGGCCUUGUACACACCGCCCGUCACACCAUGGGAGUGGGUUGCAAAAGAAGUAGGUAGCUUAACCUUCGGGAGGGCGCUUACCACUUUGUGAUUCAUGACUGGGGUGAAGUCGUAACAAGGUAAGCGUAGCGAG
rnacentral:rRNA from 1 species